CUGAGUGAGGGCCCUCUGGGCGCCUACUCCCACCCUUUGUGAACUUAUCUCUGUUGCUUUGGCGGGCCGGGUGCCCACGCGCCGCCGGCCCAGGCUGGAGAGCGCCCGCCAGAGGACCAUUUAAACCCUGCUCACGGUGUAAUCUGAGUACAAACAAAAAUUGAAUCA
rnacentral:misc_RNA from 1 species